GGAAUGUGGCUCAAGCGGUAGCGUGCUCGCCUGGCAUGUGUGCGGCCGGGGUUUGAUCCUCAGCACCA
rnacentral:tRNA from 1 species